rnacentral:sRNA from 1 species
GGAGAGUCGCAGAACUCAAAAAUGUUUUUGUUGAAAUGUACCACCACCAUUAUUCGAUGGAACACGAGUCCCACCACACAUCUUUUUAUAAAUUUGGCCGUCAUACUAUGGUAACUUGUCUGCUUGAUUCAGUCCAAGUUUUGUGUGACACUAAAUAUAAAAUAUGUGUGUGUGAGAGAGAGUGAAAGUCUAUAACCACUCAAAAACUAGGUCAGCAAGUGCUCACACUCUCGCAUUGUGUAGCUUUCGAAGCAGUUGGUAUGGAUGUGUACUCAGUUGUUGUGUCACUAUGGUGGUGAACUCUGUUCACUUAUUCGAUUUUUUAAAAUGUGAAAUCCCGUGACUGCAAUCGGUGUCGAGGCUAUUAUCUAAAGCCUGAACAAGCCAACAGGAGCUACAACUGGCUUUUCUUCAUUCGAGCUAUUUUUAGUGCCUUACAAAUAGCACGUGUGUAUGUGUUGCGUUCAUUCUGUGUCGGUGGUUAGCUAUUUAUAAGGCUGCAUAGAGAAAACAAUGUGCGCGUGUUUAGUCGGUCAUUCGUAGCAUUCCGUCAUUACAUGACAUUGGCCUUGUUAGCGUAUUGACAUUUAGUUUUAAUAGUUCAUACAAUUAGAUUUAUAGCAUAGCCGUGAAAUACCGAAACAAAACGGAGGUUUAUCUAGUCGAUAACUUAACAACAAAAGAUAAAGAAGCACAUCCGCAAAUUCUACAAUUAAGUAAAUUCAAGAUUCUCCUCGUGUAGAGUUUGAGUUCUAUAGAGUUUUGUUUCCAAAUGUGGACUUCCAAAAUUGAACAGUGUGUAUGAACUUUGAAUGGACAAUCUUAUACGAGAGGCUCAAAAAGAAGGAUCAAUAAAAUACAUUAAAAAGGGACUGCAUCUUCAUUGAGUUUGAUUCCAGAUUAGCAUUUUGGAGUUAUUCCUAGAAACCAAAUAUAGAGACAUUUAAAGAUCAAUCAAACAAAAUAGUGAAUAGUUGAGAACAGGAGUAGGCUGAUCUAUCAAGGAACGAGGUAAGACUUUCUAAUCAAUGUUUGGAAUUCAUUAGUUCAAUGGGUUUCUAUAACGUUUUGGAGAUAUUCACAUUUGAAACUGUUUGCAAUUCAGUCAGUGACAAAUAGAAGCGAUAUGGAGAUUGAUCUAUGGAGAUUGAACAGAACCCACAAACGUCAAAGAAUGGAAAGAUAUGGAAAGUAAUACAUUGACAAAAUAAACAAGGACGAUAUAUUGAAAGAUCAUUGCUGCCAACUAAAUGGCUUGCUACCUGGACGUUUGGUAUGCGCUCUAGACCGUCGUCUCUUUGGUCCCAGGAUCGAGUCUUGCCCGCUGAUAUCCCCCUUCCACUAGGAUGAAAUAAUCUUCGGUUCUAAAGGAACACCCGCAACCCAAAGAAACCAAAAAUAUAAAUGUCUUUGAGCUACAACUAAACCUGAUUCUAGACACGCACUAACAAAAUAGAUUGAUGGUUUCUUCAAAUACUUCGCGUAUUAUGAUUAACACUUGCGUAUAAUGUACAACAAAAUAGAUUGAUGGUUUCUUCAAAUACUUCGCGUAUUAACACUUGAGUAUUC